AAAAUAAUAAUUUAAAAAAUGUUUAGAAAUUACGGAUGGACUUUAUUGAUACUGCACUUUACCACAGCAGUUCACUAUAAUUAUUAUUGCAGUAAGUUUCUUUCACAACCACACGUGCGACGUAUGAUUAAUUAACACUCACGCGGCCAAACGAGUUAUGUAUCAGAAAAAAACGGUGCUUAGACGUGUCGGAGUUUUAAGAUAAAUUCCCAAAAGUGCUGUAGACCGAAGGAUCCAUUGUAUAUAGGUAUAGACUAUAAGGUACAGGCACAACUCGCGUACCACAGUCCACAGAUGAAGACGCGUCAAAAAUGGGAACGUAUUGCGUAUGCAAAAC